rnacentral:rRNA from 1 species
UACGAGGGGGGCGAGCGUUGUUCGGAAUUAUUGGGCGUAAAGGGUGCGUAGGCGGUUCCGCAAGUCCUGUGUGAAAUCUUCGGGCUCAACUCGAAGUCUGCACGGGAAACUGCGGGGCUUGAGUGUGGGAGAGGUGAGUGGAACUGCGAGUGUAGAGGUGAAAUUCGUAGAUAUUCGCAAGAACACCAGUGGCGAAGGCGGCUCACUGGCCCGAUACUGACGCUGAGGCACGAAAGCGUGGGGAGCAAACAGG